rnacentral:ncRNA from 1 species
GCAGAGUAGGCUAUCGCGCGUUAACCCCUUGAAAAAGGGUAGCAGUGCCGGCGGAACGGGGAGUUGUCCGCCGGACGAAAAACCGUAAAAGGUUUGCGGUGCGGCAGCCGAAUCCCGCUGC